GGAGAGUGGUAGUAGUAUGGGGGAGGGGGUGAUUUCACUGGUGGAGGUGGAGAGUGGUAAUAGUAUGGAGGAGGUGGUGACUUCACGGGUGGAGGUGGAGAGGGGUAGUAGUAUGGGGGAGGGGGUGAUUUCACUGGUGGAGGUGGAGAAUGGUAAUAGUAUGGAGGAGGUGGUGACUUCACGGGUGGAGGUGGAGAGUGAUAGUAGUAUGGGGGAGGAGGAGACUUCACUGGUGGGGGUGGUGAGUGAUAGUAAUAUGGAGGAGGGGGUGAUUUUACCGGUGGAGGUGGAGAGUGGUAGUAGUAUGGAGGAGGAGGAGACUUCACGGGUGGAGGUGGAGAGUGGUAGUAGUACGGAGGAGGGGGAGACUUCACCGGUGGAGGUGGAGAGUGGUAGUAGUACGGAGGAGGAGGUGACUUCACGGGUGGAGGUGGAGAGUGAUAAUAGUACGGAGGAGGAGGUGACUUCACUGGUGGUGGUGGAGAGUGAUAAUAGUAUGGGGGAGGAGGUGACUUCACUGGUGGUGGUGGAGAGUGAUAGUAAUAUGGGGGAGGAGGUGAUUUCACUGGUGGAGGUGGAGAAUGGUAAUAGUAUGGAGGAGGUGGUGACUUUACUGGUGGUGGUGGAGAAGUGUAGUAGUAAGGAGCAGGUGUGGGCUCGGGUUUAGGCUUCUUACACUCCUCGUAAGGAGUUUUAGGAGCAUAAGCAAAUGGCUUAGCUUGAAGAACAACUUCAUACUUUGUCUUGGACUUAACCUUAAGCUCGGCACCCUUAUCACCCAUGUGUAGGUCAGUUGGG
rnacentral:lncRNA from 1 species